GUGUCAGCAGCCGCGGUAAUACAGAGGGUGCAAGCGUUGUUCGGAAUGAUUGGGCGUAAAGCAUCUGUAGGUGGUUUCUAAAGUCAGCUGUUAAAUCCCAGAGCUCAACUUUGGUCAAGCAGCUGAGUACUUAGGGACUUGAGUAUGGUAGGGGUAGAGGGAAUUCCUUGUUUAGCGGUGAAAUGCAUAGAGAUAAGGAAGAACACCAGUGGCGAAAGCGCUCUACUGGGCCAUGACUGACACUGAGAGAUGAAAGUUAGGGGAGCGAAAAGGAUUAGACACCCUUGUAGUCCUAACCGUAAACGAUGGAUACUAGGUGCUGUCAAAAACAGUGCCGAAGCUAACGCAUUAAGUAUCCCGCCUGGGGAGUAUGCUCGCAAGAGUGAAACUCAAAGGAAUUGACGGGG
rnacentral:rRNA from 1 species